AUUGAACGCUGGCAGCAUGCCUUACACAUGCAAGUCGAACGGCAGCACGGGGGCAACCCUGGUGGCGAGUGGCGAACGGGUGAGUAAUGCAUCGGAAUGUACCCAGUAGUGGGGGAUAACCAGUCGAAAGAUUGGCUAAUACCGCAUACGCACUAUGGUGGAAAGCGGGGGACCGUAAGGCCUCGCGCUAUCGGAGCAGCCGAUGUCCGAUUAGGUAGUUGGUGGGGUAAUGGCCCACCAAGCCUGCGAGCGGUAACGGGUCUGAGAGGACGACCAGUCACACUGGGACUGAGACACGGCCCAGACUCCUACGGGAGGCAGCAGUGGGGAAUUUUGGACAAUGGGCGCAAGCCUGAUCCAGCAAUGCCGCGUGUGUGAAGAAGGCCUUCGGGUUGUAAGGCACUUUUGGCAGGAAAGAAAUCGUGCGUGCUAAUACCAUGCGCGGAUGGCGGUACCUGCAGAAUAAGCACCGGCUAACUACGUGCCAGCCGCCGCCGUAAUAC
rnacentral:rRNA from 1 species